rnacentral:rRNA from 1 species
AGUAAAAGUCGUAACAAGGUUUCCGUAGGUGAACCUGCGGAAGGAUCAUUACCGAGUGAGGGCCCUCUGGGUCCAACCUCCCACCCGUGUUUAUUUUACCUUGUUGCUUCGGCGGGCCCGCCUUUACUGGCCGCCGGGGGGCUCACGCCCCCGGGCCCGCGCCCGCCGAAGACACCCUCGAACUCUGUCUGAAGAUUGAAGUCUGAGUGAAAAUAUAAAUUAUUUAAAACUUUCAACAACGGAUCUCUUGGUUCCGGCAUCGAUGAAGAACGCAGCGAAAUGCGAUACGUAAUGUGAAUUGCAAGUUCAGUGAAUCAUCGAGUCUUUGAACGCACAUUGCGCCCCCUGGUAUUCCGGGGGGCAUGCCUGUCCGAGCGUCAUUGCUGCCCUCAAGCCCGGCUUGUGUGUUGGGCCCCGUCCUCCGAUUCCGGGGGACGGGCCCGAAAGGCAGCGGCGGCACCGCGUCCGGUCCUCGAGCGUAUGGGGCUUUGUCACCCGCUCUGUAGGCCCGGCCGGCGCUUGCCGAUCAACCCAAAUUUUUAUCCAGGUUGACCUCGGAUCAGGUAGGGAUACCCGCUGAACUUAAGCAUAUCAAUAAGCGGAGGAAAAGAAACCAACAGGGAUUGCCCCAGUAACG